rnacentral:rRNA from 1 species
AAGGCUUCGAUCAGUAGCUGGUCUGAGAGGACGACCAGCCACACUGGAACUGAGACACGGUCCAGACUCCUACGGGAGGCAGCAGUGGGGAAUUUUGGACAAUGGGCGCAAGCCUGAUCCAGCAAUGCCGCGUGAGUGAAGAAGGCCUUCGGGUUGUAAAGCUCUUUUGUCAGGGAAGAAACGGUGGACUCUAAUACAGAUCACUAAUGACGGUACCUGAAGAAUAAGCACCGGCUAACUACGUGCCAGCAGCCGCGGUAAUACGUAGGGUGCAAGCGUUAAUCGGAAUUACUGGGCGUAAAGCGUGCGCAGGCGGUUGUGCAAGACAGAUGUGAAAUCCCCGGGCUCAACCUGGGAAUUGCAUUUGUGACUGCACGGCUAGAGUGUGUCAGAGGGGGGUAGAAUUCCACGUGUAGCAGUGAAAUGCGUAGAGAUGUGGAGGAAUACCGAUGGCGAAGGCAGCCCCCUGGGAUAACACUGACGCUCAUGCACGAAAGCGUGGGGAGCAAACAGGAUUAGAUACCCUGGUAGUCCACGCCCUAAACGAUGUCUACUAGUUGUUGGGUCUUAAUUGACUUAGUAACGCAGCUAACGCGUGAAGUAGACCGCCUGGGGAGUACGGUCGCAAGAUUAAAACUCAAAGGAAUUGACGGGGACCCGCACAAGCGGUGGAUGAUGUGGAUUAAUUCGAUGCAACGCGAAAAACCUUACCUACCCUUGACAUGUACGGAAUCCCUGAGAGAUUAAGGAGUGCUCGAAAGAGAGCCGUAACACAGGUGCUGCGUGGCUGUCGUCAGCUCGUGUCGUGAGAUGUUGGGUUAAGUCCCGCAACGAGCGCAACCCUUGUCAUUAGUUGCUACGAAAGGGCACUCUAAUGAGACUGCCGGUGACAAACCGGAGGAAGGUGGGGAUGACGUCAAGUCCUCAUGGCCCUUAUGGGUAGGGCUUCACACGUCAUACAAUGGUACAUACAGAGGGCCGCCAACCCGCGAGGGGGAGCUAAUCCCAGAAAGUGUAUCGUAGUCCGGAUUGUAGUCUGCAACUCGACUACAUGAAGUUGGAAUCGCUAGUAAUCGCGGAUCAGCAUGUCGCGGUGAAUACGUUCCCGGGUCUUGUACACACCGCCCGUCACACCAUGGGAGCGGGUUUCACCAGAAGUAGGUAGCCUAACCGUAAGGAGGGCGCUUACCACGGUGGGAUUCGUGACUGGGGUGAAGUCGUAACAAGGUA